GACAGAGGGUGCAAACGUUGUUCGGAAUUACUGGGCGUAAAGCGAGUGUAGGCGGUUUGGUAAGUCGGAUGUGAAAGCCCCGGGCUCAACCCGGGAAGUGCACUCGAUACUGCCAAGCUAGAGUAUCGGAGAGGUUGGUGGAAUUCUCGGUGUAGAGGUGAAAUGCGCAGAUAUCAGGAGGAACACCGGUGGCGAAGGCGGUUCUCUGGGCAUUACCUGACGUGAGGAGCGAAAGUGUGGGAGCGAACAGG
rnacentral:rRNA from 1 species